rnacentral:rRNA from 1 species
AUUGAACGCUGGCGGCAGGCCUAACACAUGCAAGUCGAACGGUAACAGGAAGCAGCUUGCUGCUUUGCUGACGAGUGGCGGACGGGUGAGUAGUGUCUGGGAAACUGCCCGAUGGAGGGGGAUAACUACUGGAAACGGUAGCUAAUACCGCAUAACGUCGCAAGACCAAAGAGGGGGACCUUAGGGCCUCUUGCCAUCGGAUGUGCCCAGAUGGGAUUAGCUAGUAGGUGGGGUAACGGCUCACCUAGGCGACGAUCCCUAGCUGGUCUGAGAGGAUGACCAGCCACACUGGAACUGAGACACGGUCCAGACUCCUACGGGAGGCAGCAGUGGGGAAUAUUGCACAACGGGCGCAAGCCUGAUGCAGCCAUGCCGCGUGUAUGAAGAAGGCCUUCGGGUUGUAAAGUACUUUCAGCGGGGAGGAAGGGAGUAAAGUUAAUACCUUUGCUCAUUGACGUUACCCGCAGAAGAAGCACCGGCUAACUCCGUG